CAGAACCUCUCUGGGCAACCUGUUCCAGUGCCUCACCACCCUAUGAGUGAAGAAUUUCCUCUUAACAUCCAAUCUAAAUCUCCUCUCUUUUAUUUUAAAACCUUGUCCUAUGACUAUCUGCGCAUGCAAUAAGUUGCUUUCCAUCUUUUUUAUGUCAUGUUUAAGUACUAAAAGGCUGCAAUGUGCCCUCCUAGCCUUCUAUUCUGCAGGCUGAACAGCCCCAGCUCUCUCAGACUUUCUUAUAGGAGAGGUGCUCCAGCCCCCAAUCAUCUUUGUGGCCUCCUCUGGACCUACUUGAACAGGUUCACACAUUACUUGCACUGGGGGCCACAGACCCCAAGGGAUGCAGGACUCAAAGUGAGGCCUCACAAGGGCUAAGCAGAGGAAAAUAAUCCCCUCCCUCCACCUGCUGGCCACUCCUCUUGUACUUCUUGUUGCAGCCCAGGAUGCAGUUGGCUUUCUGGGCUGCAAGCACACACUGCUGGCUCAUGUUAAGCUUUUUGUCCACCAGAACCCCCAAGUCUUUUUCCACCAGAACCCCCAAGUCUUUUUCUAUAGGGUUGCUCUCAAUGAAUUCUCUUCCCAGUCUGUACUCAUGGCUGGGAUUGCUCUGACCCAGGUGCAGAACCUUGAACUUGGACUUAUUGAACCUCACAUGUUCACAUGGGCCCACUUCUCAAGGUUCAUUUGGAUGGCAUCCCUUCCUUCUGUUGCAUCAACAGUACCACUCAGCUUGGUGUCGUCUGCAGACUUCGUGAGGGUGCACUGUCUAUCCCACUAUGUAAUUGAUAAAGAUCUUAAACAGUACCUGUUCCAAGACAGACCCCUGAGGGAAACUGCUUGUCACCAGCCACCACCUGGACAUAGAGACAUUGACCACCACUUUCUGGGUGCAGCCUUCAAGCCAAUUCCUUAUCCACUGAAUAGUCCACCCAUCAAACCCAUAUCUUUCCAGUUUGGAGACCAGGAUGUCAUGUGGGACUGUGCCAGAGGCCUUAUGGAAAUCCAGGUAGAUGACAUCUGUCGGUCUUCCUUUGUUGAGCAGUGCAAUCACUUCAUCAUAGAAGGCUACCAGAAAGGUCAGGCACAAUUUACGCUUGGUGAAGCCAAAUGUUCACAACAAAUGCUCACAACAUUUAUAAAUGUUUGUAAAUAAAGGCAAAUGUUCACAGAAUUUUAUUAAUGAAAAUAGUGAUAGAAAGGUUUUUUGUUUUUGUAGUAGUAUUUAUAUUGUUAAAGCCUUUCUCAUUAUGAAGAAAUGGUGCAGCAAAAAGCAGGCUGUAGGAAAGAAGAAUUAUUCAAGGGAAAAAUUCUGAAGGCUUGCAAUUGGUCCCUGUGGACUUAUUUGCAAACAGCCUGACAACAGCACUGCUCACCAAACCCUUGGGUGCUGUCCCUGCAGAAGCAUGUUUUUUCUCUUCAUUCCAACUCUUUACAUACCAAGUUAAUAAAAUGUUCAGGAUUUGCAAACACUUCUCUGGUUAAAUAAGUUAUUCAGAAAAUUAUAAGCAGCUCCACAGAAGGAGGAGUCCACUAUUGAUCCCUCUCUAACAAGAACUUUAAUACUGAAAUAUUUGACAGGCUAAUGUCAUAACACUUCUACAUCUCUCACUAUUUAUAGGUUUCCUAAGUACUUGUGAUCAUCGUGUUCCAGUAAAGCAUACUAGAUGAUUCCUAAUUUUUGUUUUGAUAUCAAUGCUUUCUUUUAUUUUGGACAAGCUAACAGACAUUUCUGAGUGUCAGUAAAAUGGGGAGUCUCACGGUUCAAGAAAGCAGAGACUGAAAGAAGAGAACAUUGAAGGCAGAGAUGAUACUUUAAUUCUCUGCUGUCACAAGAAGCACAGGAAAAAGACAAGAAAAGGUGAUUUCCAUGUACUGAAGUCAGAUCUUUUCUGAGUGAAUACAAUUACUUAAGCUAACAGGUAAACUGUGCUUUUUUAACAGGAAAGGAAAUAAGUAAAUUUGGUUAACAAAGAAGAGUCUGAAAGAAAACAAUGCAUUUUAACCCAUGAAAGUAUAAGAUGACAUUAGACCUGCAUAACAUACCACAAUAUACAGAAAUUUCUCAUAAGACCAAUAUUAUGUUCAUAGCAUAUUAAAAAUCCCCUUUAUUUUCAAAAAUGUGCAGUUAGUUUUAUAAUUAUUGUUCUGUUUCACUAUACUCAGCCAUCAGCAUGUUCCUUUCAUUGUAAUAUAUAUGUUUAGGGAUAAUUUUAGGGAGAAAAAUAUCAUCUCCCUGCAUGCGAUAGCAUGUGUUCCCUUUGCAUAGGCUGAAAUAAGUGAACUGAAGGAAAAUGUCAGCUACUUGUGCAGACAGCCAGCUUACGGUAGUACAGAGAGAUAGUAUACAUAAAACAAGAGUGUCACAUUUAAAUGGCAGCAUACAGACAUACACACCCUGCAUGAGUUGCUCAGCCUACACCACCUUAAUGUCCAGAGGCCCUUGCUGACAGGUUAAGAGUAAGUAAUUGCAUCAGGAUUGCUUAUGAGCCUCAGUGUCCUGGCAAGGAUGUUCAGAUCCUUUGUGCUGUGACAAUCUCAACUAGCCAUGGGGGAGCCUGUGAUUUAAAGCAGCAAAGGAAGAGCUGGGUGUAGCAUUCUCAAUGUGGAUUAGAGACACAUGCAGGAUGAAAACUUGACUCCCUCACUCUCGAGAGAACACCUGUUGCAGUUUAACUUGGCAGACAGCUAAGAACCACACAGCAGUUAGCUCACUCCCCCUCCUACACCAAUAAUGAGGUGGGAGAGAGAAAUUAAAAAGAAAAAUAAUUUAAAAAAAAAAGUAAAGUAAAAAAACUAAAAAACUCAUGGAUUGAGGUAAAGACAGUUCAAUAAAACAGAAAAGGAAUAAUAAUAAUAACAACAACAAUGAUAAUACAAGGCAAGUGAUGUACAAUGCAAUUGCUUGCCACCCUGACAUAUGUCCAGACCAUCCCUGAGCAGGGAUCACUCCUCCCAGGCCCAGACAGCUCUCUCACAUUUAUUGUUCUGUGUGGUGCCAUAUGGCAUGGAACAUCCCUUUGGUCAGCCUGGGCCAGCUGUCCUGGUUCUGUCCCCUCCCAGCUUCAGGUGGACCCCCAGCCUCAUUGCUAGGAGGGCAGCACAAGAAGCAGAAAAGUCCUUGCCUCUGUGUAAGUACUGAUCUGCGAAAACUGAAAACAUUGGUGUGUUAUUGGUAUUAUUCUUGUCCCAGCUAAAACCAAGACAAAACUUCGGUUAUUCUGAAGAGUCUGAUCCCUUCUGCUCCAUCGAAUAACAGAUGUGCUGAGGUUUCUCAGUUCCUAUCAUUUUUGGCAUGGGAUGUUAUGAGAUAGCUCACUGUCAUGUUUAGACUUGAGUUUUCAGGACCAAUUCAGAGAGACUGAGAUUUCUAAAUAAUCCUUUCUCUAGGAAACACCUAUAAUUUAAAACUCUUUCAGCAGGUGUUUCUCAGUCAAAAAAAAAAAAAAAAAAAAAA